rnacentral:misc_RNA from 1 species
UACGGAAGGUGCAAGCGUUAAUCGGAAUUACUGGGCGUAAAGCGCGCGUAGGCGGCUUGGUAAGUCGGGUGUGAAAGCCCCGGGCUCAACCUGGGAACUGCACUCGAUACUGCUGGGCUAGAGUACGGAAGAGGGGGGUGGAAUUCCAGGUGUAGCGGUGAAAUGCGUAGAGAUCUGGAGGAACAUCGGUGGCGAAGGCGGCCCCCUGGUUCGAUACUGACGCUGAGGCGCGAAAGCGUGGGGAGCAAACAGG